UCAAACCUGGGACCCUUUGGUCCAUAGGCUGACACUCUAUUCACUGAGCCAAACCAGCUAGGGCUUGUGCUUUCUUUUUGUUUUUUGUCUUAUCAUUGACCUUUAUAAGAAUUUUCCUUUUGGUUUUUACAUUUGAGGUAAUGUAUAUUUAUUUAUUUACUAGAGGCCCAGUGCAUGAAUUUAUGCAUGGGUGGGGUCCCCAGGGGGGUGGGGUUUGGCCAGGACAUGACUGACCCUCCUGGUGGGUGGUGGGAUGCCCUUGCCAGCCCUGGAUCCAGAUCCAUCCCACUGACAUUUGUGCUGGUUGUUGGGAGCUACCUAGCAGCCGGCCGCUUUUAUAUUGUUUCUGCAUUGUGGAGCGGACCGUCUAUGGAGGGAAAGCGGCCACGAUGCCUGAGGCAGACUUCCAGGAAGCCAGCAGUGCUGUCGGGAUCAUGCCAGCGGCACUGGUCCAUCGGUGCCUGGCCUGUUCUCCAGAGAUUGGACCUGUAGGACUACUGAGGGAGAGCUCAGCGCACCAUUCGAAAUCGCAUGGUGCCACCCACCCUUGGUCCGGCCCUGCCUCCCUCUCUGGCCCUUGAAGCAGCUGCAGCUGCUGCUGAUCAGGCCCUCCCCCAGUGCAGGUUUUACCAUCUGAUCGAUGCUUCUCUGUCUCUGGAUCUGUUUUUGUUCAUCACAACCUUCCCCAAAUCUGGCAGUCCUACUGUGUCUCAGCUGGUCACCUCGAUAAAUUAAGACCCAGCACAGAACAAGUGGCACCAGGUUUGAAGUCACAGCUGAGACUGAAAUACCUAGUCAUCAUGUUUUCCAAAGGAAGAAAAAUCUUCAUGAACCAAUCUGCACCAAUGUGGCUUAAGAAAAAAUAAUAAAUGAUCAUGGAAAACAAUGAUCAAUUAUGAGUGAGCAACCACUUGCCUUCCUGGAUGAAUCACAACUAAACCAAUUUAUUGAUUUACAAUCACAAAAUAAAAAUAUAUCUUAUUGAAAAUAUUUUUGCAGGAACUUUUAUCAGCCUUUUGCCUUCAUAAUUUUACUGAAUCUGAUUGCCUGACUAACCAAGCAGUUUUGAAACUGAAUAAAAUAAAGUCUUGGUAAACAGAAUACAGUGUAAGGCCUGUGUCUGUGUUGAGGUCUGUCUGAAACUGGGAUGGGC